GUGGAGUUAUGGCAUCGUCCUACAUGAGAUAUUCACACUCGGGGGGAACCCUUACGAUGGAAUGAGCGGACAAGAAGUAUUUACAUACGUGUCGCAUGGUCAUAAAUUGCGAAGGUCGUCAGGCGUGAGCCGAGAAUUGUAUAAAUUGAUGCUUCGGUGCUGGGACCAAGAGCCAUCCAGGCGACCGACAUUCGAAUCAAUUACGUCUUGGAUGGAAACUUAAACGCAUCCUUUCUGUACAAAAAUUCGGAAUACCUCGCAAAUUAUAAGCUAGGCGUAAUGUAUAUCAAUGAACUUUUACCUACUAACAAGGUUGGAACAGAAAAUACUUCAAUACCAACAGGGAAUGGAAGUCUUGAUAAAUUUUUCUGGCUUUAAAUUACCAUGUUAGCAAGAGAAGAUAAUCCUUUCUUGAUGUUAAUCGCGGUUCAAGGUUUUUCAUUUAGUUACGUUAUCAAGCAAAGAGGUUGGAAUCAAUUAUUGUCUAUAUUUUUACAUCACAGAAUCGAUACAAAUAACAAUUCCUAGGUUGGACGGCAUUCAUAUAGUAAUGCUUAUGUUUGUUUUAUAGCUGUACAAAAAAUAGGAAGAUUUUAAAUAUAUUAUUAUAUGAAAAACUUUAUUUCUAAGUUAAAUACGGUUAAAAGUAU